AUCGCUUCUCGGCCUUUUGGCUAAGAUCAAGUGUGAAAACAAGUUUCUACUAACAUUUUUUUUUUUUUUUGGUACGGGGGAUUGAACUUGGGUCCUUACGCUUGUGAGGCAGGCAGCAGAACCACUGAGCUAAAUCCCUGGCCCAUAACAUUUUCUUUUUUGAGUGGUGCAAACCAU
rnacentral:snRNA from 1 species